rnacentral:lncRNA from 1 species
CUAACGAGGAACACUAAAUAUUGUUUCCUGUGUGCAUAAGUCACUUGCAGAUCUAGAAAAAGAAGUUUGCCCAAUUUUAAAUUAGAGGCAAAGUACUUUUCUUAGAUCUGCAAUUUACAUCUCUAAUUUAAAUUGCCCAAUUUUAAAUUAGAGGAUUUUUUUGUUGAUUUGAGUGAAUUCUCUGUAAAAUGAAGAUUUUUAAAUCUACUAUAUAUACACACAUGCACAUACACGUGUAGUAAAUAUUUUACAAGUAUGCUGCCUUUUAUUUUUUCUCAAAUGCAGGGUAAUUUUUGUUUUGCUAAAUUAACCUUCACAAUGCUUAUUUCUGAGCGUCUUAGAAAGGUUUUGUCAACAUAAAAAUGUAUCUGUGUAAAUAGGCAUUUAUAUUUUCUUCUGGUAUUUUUUUCAUUUCGAAUAUUAAAAAUUUUUAAUCUAUAUUCCAUCAGGAACUUAUUUCUUUUAUGUACUGUAACUUUGGCAUUUUUUUCUAGAGAUCAUCAAACCCAAAAAAGUCUAGAUUUUCUCCUGUUAUUUUCCAGAAGUUUUAUAGUUUUGUAUUUGACAUUUAGGUCCGUGAUUCAUUUUGACUUAAUUUUGGUGAGAAGGUAAGAUCUGAUUCAUUUUUUUUCACUUGUGGGUAUUCAGUUGUUCCAGCACCACUUUCUGAAGAAACCAACCUUUGUUUCAUCAUGUUGCCUUUACUUUUUUAUCAAAGAUUAAUUAAAUAUAUCGAUGUGUCGCUAUUUCUAAACUCUCUGUCUUGUUUCAUUAACCUGUCUGUUCUUUCAUCAAUAUGAUACUGCCUUGAUUACCGUAGCUUUACAGUUAAGUCCUGAAGUUGAGUAGUGCCUGUCUUUCCUCCAGCUUUGUUCUCUCCUUCAAUAUUGUGUUAGCUAUUCAAGGUCUUUUUCUUCCCCAUAUAAGCUUUAGAAUUACUUUUUCUAUAUCCAUAAAAUAAUUUGCUUCCAUUUUGAUUAGAAGUGCAUUGAAUCUGUACAUUGGUAAGAAAUGACAUCCUGAUGAUAUUGAGUUAUUCUAUUCAUGAAUAUGAUGUAUCUUCUCCAUCUGUUCAGUUCUUUUUUUAUUUCUAUCAUCAGAUAUGGACAGUUUAUGAAAUUACAUAACUCCCUCUACCUUGACCAAAGGACAGUGAUGAAUUCCUCAUUCUGCAGCCAACAAGUCACCUCUGAGGGCCAUGUGUCUAAACAUAGACAGGAGGGACACCUGUUGCUUCAGCCAACACCUGCUGGCAUGUGCUGAGGAUGCUGGUGCUGCUGGCUUUCCCAGCCCUGCCCCCGGGGCUACCUUCGGGUGUGUGCCUCUUGACCUUAGUGAGAAUGUACUUUUUCAUCCCUACCAUGGGUGAAAAGUUUUCACAAAUAAACACUUUUUAAAAUAA